rnacentral:rRNA from 1 species
GAUGAACGCUGGCGGCGUGCCUAAUACAUGCAAGUCGAGCGAACGGACGAGAAGCUUGCUUCUCUGAUGUUAGCGGCGGACGGGUGAGUAACACGUGGAUAACCUACCUAUAAGACUGGGAUAACUUCGGGAAACCGGAGCUAAUACCGGAUAAUAUUUUGAACCGCAUGGUUCAAAAGUGAAAGACGGUCUUGCUGUCACUUAUAGAUGGAUCCGCGCUGCAUUAGCUAGUUGGUAAGGUAACGGCUUACCAAGGCAACGAUGCAUAGCCGACCUGAGAGGGUGAUCGGCCGCACUGGAGCGGAGACGCGGUCCAGACUCCUACGGGAGGCAGCAGUAGGGAAUCUUCCGCAAUGGGCGAAAGCCUGACGGAGCAACGCCGCGUGAGUGAUGAAGGUCUUCGGAGCGUAAAACUCUGUUAUUAGGGAAGAACAGAUGUGUAAGUAACUGUGCACAUCUUGACGGUACCUAAUCAGAAAGCCACGGCUAACUACGUG